rnacentral:rRNA from 1 species
GUCGUGGGGCAGCGCAGUGUAGCAAUACAUGGGCGGCGACCGGCAAACGGGUGCGGAACACGUACACAACCUUCCUACAAGUGGGGAAUAGCCCAGAGAAAUUUGGAUUAAUACCCCGUAACAUAUAAAGAUGGCAUCAUUUUUAUAUUAUAGCUACGGCGCUUGUUGAUGGGUGUGCGGCUGAUUAUGUAGUUGGCGGGGUAAUGGCCCACCAAGCCUGCAAUCACUAUCUGAUGUGAGAGCAUGAUCACCCACACGGGCACUGAGACACGGGCCCGACUCCUACAGGAGGCA